ensembl:lncRNA
CUACGUUUUGAGGGUAAAAUCAUACCUGUAGAGCAAACGCUGCGGACACAGCAGCAGUUUUAAAAAAGAUUUUAAGAUUAUUUUUUUUGCUCCUCUCACUCUAGCAGUUGAGCUGUCUCACUCUAGCCCCAACAUUCCGUCCCAUACACACCCAUUAUAAACUCUGAAACGGGUGAAAAAACAUCAUGAAACUUAAACUGGAACUGAAGAAAAAGUAUAAUAGAUAUUGAAAAGAUAAAUACAAGUUGAAUAGUUGAAUGUCUUGUCUUCGUUUUAAAGUUUGAAUGGUGGCUCUAUGUGAACGUAUGUUGAAGUAGUAAGAGUUUAAAAAUGAGUAAGUUGAAUGAGAAUUUGAAGGGUCUCCCCAUUGAAAUACAUGGGAAAUUUUUGUUGAAUAAAGUUGAAUAAAAUUAAAAAUAUAAAUGUUAAAAAUGAGAAAAAUACAAGCAACAGUGUCCAAAAGAAUAGGAAUCUAAUGGUGUUUGAAUGGUUUUUCUAAGUUGAACGGUUUUGAAGGAGUAGGCUUUCAAAAAACGUACGGAAUAGAUAAAAUAUAAUAACUAGAAAGUGCAUUUUCUGAAGAAACUGCAGUGUGAAUGCUUGAAUCUGAAUGUAUGCACUGAAAUGAAUUAAUUGCUGAAUUUUGAGUUAAAAAUAUUGAAUGAGAUUAAAAAAAAACAAAAAAAAAAAACGAAUUUAACCUGAAAACAAAGGUGCUGAACUGCUAAAAGCUGAAGGUUACACAGAAGAAGGAGUUGGAAAAAAACUGAAAAUGUUUUAAAUGUAAAUUAGAAAACCCUAAGAAAUGAGAAAAGAACAUUUAGAGUCAGAAAACAUCUGAAUGAAUAUUAAAAGGUCAUAUUCUUUGAAUCACUGAAUGACUCAAAUGUGAUCCCUCCACUUUGAUCCACACAGUUUAAAAAGUUUAAAUGCCUGAGCUUUGAAAGAUACGGUGUUGGAAAGAGAACAAUAAUGGCGACAAUUUGAGGGUAAAAUGAUGGCUGUAACACUGUGGACACAGCAGCAGUUGAAAGAGAAGUGCUUAAGAUGAAUCUUGGUACAGUGGCAGGCAGAGCUCGUUAAGCAGGCAGGUGUGAGCCUGGUUGCUACAGUGACUGCACCCAAUGGCUCCAUACACACGUACACAGACAUGCACCUCACUUUUGCUGCUUAAAAUGAACAGAAAAGUCAGGCCCAAACAAAUUCUUCCCAAAUGAAAAGUACAUGUCGUAUUGACAAAAUUCUUUCACCGUGAGCGACAGCCAUGUCUAGUCUACCUAAUUCUCAGUUUUCAUGCCUGUGGAGCUUAUUAUAUGGACGUGGUGACAGUGUAAAGACACCAUGCUCUUCUGAUUUUCAAACGAACCUUCUGAGCCAUUUUAACAUUAGAGUCUAUGGAAGAGUUGGAGGGAGGAGGCUGUGCAUUGGUGACAUUUAUGAAAGAACCAUAACACCUAGGACAAUAGUAAACACAUUGGAUGAAAGAG